rnacentral:tRNA from 8 species
UGGGGAGUCGUCCAGUGGCAGGACGGCAGACUCUGGAUCUGCUUACAGGGGUUCGAAUCCUCUCUCCCCAGCCA